GUGUGUGCGAGGGCGAACGAGUCUGGUGUGCGUGUGCGCAAAUGUGAAUUAUUGAUGAGGACGCAGCCUCAGAAUGUCCUGCCGGGGCCGUCCUGUGAGUGUGUGAGGUUGAAAGGGUGAGAGUGUGUGUUUGCUUGUUAGUAGAGAUGGGGGAUAAGAGUACAGUGCACCAGCAAAAACAGCCUCCUUACGAUGGACUGUGCAACUACGCCCAAAAAAUUACCUCCUGCUUCGGACUUGAUGUGGCCCAUACACAGGAAGCUCACCACCAGACGGAGAAGCCUCUGAUACGCUGUGCUAAAUGUGGAGAGGUGUGCAAGGGAGAGGUGUUACGAGUGCAGGCCAAACACUUCCACAUCAAGUGCUUCACAUGCAAAGUAUGUGGCUGCGAUCUGGCUCAGGGAGGAUUCUUCAUGAAGAAUGGAGAAUAUAUGUGCACUCUGGACUACCAGCGCAUCCACGGCACCCGCUGUAACAUCUGCGGAGAGUUUGUGGAGGGGGAGGUGGUGACCGCGCUCGGAAAGACCUACCACCCAGCAUGCUUUGUGUGCACAAUCUGCAAGAGACCAUUUCCCGCUGGAGACAGAGUGACGUUCAAUGGCAAGGACUGUUUGUGUCAGUACUGCGCAGAGCCCAUGUCUCCAGGACCCACCAAAGAUGUCGUCGGACCCAGCAGUUGUGCAGGCUGUGGCAGAGAUAUUAAGAAUGGUCAGGCUCUGUUGGCUCUCGAGAGUCAGUGGCAUUUGGGCUGUUUUAAAUGUAAGGCCUGUGCCAAAGUAUUGACUGGGGAAUAUAUCAGCAAAGACGGCGCCCCCUACUGUGAGCAAGAUUAUCAGGUCCUGUUUGGAGUGCAAUGUGAGGCAUGUCAGCAGUUCAUCACGGGGAAAGUUCUGGAGGCAGGGGACAAGCACUACCACCCCAGCUGUGCUCGCUGUAGCAGGUGUAAUCAGAUGUUUACAGAAGGAGAGGAGAUGUUCCUGCAAGGAUCAACAGUUUGGCAUCCAAGCUGUAAACAUUCGCCAAAGGGCGAGGAGAGACAGCGGCUAUUGCCUGCAUCUCUAGCUCUCCUCAGCAAAACAGAAAGGCAGCCGACGCGCUCGUCGUCCGAGAGUAUAUGUUCCAGACCUGGUUCAAGCAUACCUAGCUCACCGGGUCACACCAUAUAUGCAAAAGUAGACAAUGAGAUCCUUGAUUACAGGGAUUUAGCAGCCAUUCCCAAGGUCAAAGCCAUUUAUGACAUUGAGCGUCCAGAUUUAAUCCACUAUGAGCCACUUUACACCACCACACUGGAUGAGUCAGAGGAGAGAGAGAGUGUGGGAGAGCUGCAGAGUUCCAGGAGAGAGUGUUCACCCAUGCCAGAGGACAGAACCAGGUCACCCACACCAAUUGCUGAGGGUUACUAUGACAUGAGAGAACGAAUCCUCCACAGAUCGACGAGUCAGGGCUCCAUCGGCUCGCCCAUUUACAGCCGCCACAGUUACACACCCACCAUGUCACGCUCACCACAGCAUUUCCACAGACCCGGCACUGAGCCGUCCAGUGGUCGAAGUUCCCCAGGGUCCAGCACCCCUCCUCUCCCCUUGACCCCUAAACAUUUUCACCUGCCAGAUCAAGGAGUAAACAUCUACAGAAAACCCCCUAUCUACAAACAGCAUGCCCAGAGCAAGUCUGCUGAUGACAUCAUCAAAUCGGCCAAAUUUCCCUCAGCGUACGCCCCUGGUCCAGACUACCCAGCAGUGAUACAGACAGACUGCUGGUCCUUCCCGAUCUCCCAUGCUGCCCUAGGAACAGACGGGAGGAGAAGGUCAAGAGAGGAAGAUGAGGAGGAGCUUCAGAAACGCAGACAGAUUCAGGAGGAACAUCUCAACAAGAUCCAAUCUGGUUUGGGGAAAAUGAUCCUUAAGGAGGAGAUGGAGAAAGAGAAGAUCCGAGAGCGUCAUGCACGGAGCCUGUCGGCACAACGCUACGAGCAUGGAAGCAGUAAUGCUCCUCAAUCAAAAUUCACCCUCUAAAACAGGCUCACUGCCUGGAUACGGGCGAAAUGGACUGCAUCGGCCUCAGUCGACUGAUUUCACACAGUAUAACAGUUAUGGGGACGUGUGCGGUGGGAUGAGAGGUUAGUUUAUCUGUCUUUUAAUUUAAUUGAACUUAAUAUAUAAUGAGAGCAAAUAAUAGUCAAAUAUGUAUUGGUCUAUGGAUUAUGGAAGUAGUAUAAAUGCAUGUGGAAAAGUUUUCUCAUAUUGGCUAUUUUAAUGAAUGAAAAUAAAAACAAAUCUUUUUUUUAUUUUCUUCUUAACAGAGUUUCAGGUACGUAGAUAUUAUUACCUUUUUGAAUCUCACUUUGUUUCCAUUUAUCCUUAUUGCUUUCCUAUUAUAAAUAAUAUGUAAUAUUCUUUAAAAUAAUGUCUUCAACAUGCUCAUAGCCUACUCCUUCAAACUACAUAAUGUAAAUUAAAAAUUAAAAGAUAAAGUUGUCAUGGCUCAUUAAAGUAGCUAGCUUCAUGUUUUCUCUCUGUCUAUGAUUUGUUUCUAGCCCAUGCAUGAUGGCCACCGUACAGCCACCAGAAUGGACAGAGGAGUGUCUAUGCCUAAUAUGCUGGAACCAAAAGCAAGUGUAACAUUAAACUAGCAAACAUUAUCUGAUACUGAAUAUGAGUUCAACAAUUAGGCUGCUUAGCAUCCAGAUCUACUUGGAUGUAAUGUAACUAUAUAGCCAGAUUUAAGGCCCGUUCAGACCAAGGACAAUAACUGCAGCUAUAAAUGUAUAGACUUAUGUAGCUCCGCCCCUUUUCAGCACUGUGCUCCAAUUCUGUCUUCUGGUUUGUAUUUCCACAGCAUGAAGGUAAGAUCUUAUGGAUUUAUGAAUGAACUGCUCGUUUUAAUAUCUUUCCGGUCUACUGCCACAACUAUUAAGGCACAGAGAAAUUAUAUCGUCGGAAUCACUUUCAGAACGAUUUUUUCCACCUGAAGAACAAUAAAAACAUGACAGCCAAUCAGAAUCCAUCCUGCUUCAAAAAGCUUGAGCAUUUAAAGCGGCAGACAACAAAACUUCAGCACGUUGUUAUAAUAAAAAUGAACACAAUGAUAUUGAGUUAUAAAGAGUUUGUGCAUUUAUUUACUGAUUGAUAUGCUUCAUUUAAAGGUAUAUCCAUAUGAAAUGCUCAAGGUAACCAGCCGCAGUCGCUCCAAACUGCCCAGAGAUGUGGACAGAACCCGACUAGAGCGCCACUUGGCUCCAGAGAUGUUCUUUGAAAUAUUUGGGAUGGAAAUUAAGGAAUUCGACAGGUUACCUCUGUGGAAACGCAAUGAACUAAAGAAGAAAGCCAAACUCUUCUAACCAGGAUAUACAUCAUCUACUCACAAAUAUUGUAUCAUACAGCUGUUUACUAAUCUUCUCGUUAAAGCUAUAGCCAGAAGAAAGUUCCAUGCUGCAAUAUUAUCAUAUGAUGUCAGUUUGUAAUAAACAGAGGGUCCAAACAUUUCAGAUAUUUCUCCAAAAUUCACACUUUAUUUUUUGUGUCUCUGUUGCUUUAAUUUUCCCUCUUCCAGAAAUGAGUCUUUCUCUUUUUGUUCUUGUUGCAUAUCUUGGCAAAUCAUGUUCAUGCAGGUCUGAUAAUCUGAACCUUUACAGAUUUACAGUUAUAAUCCAUUUAAUUCAGUGUUCCAGUAAAGACUCCUAUGUUUGCGUCACUUUUGGUUCAGGGAGGGAUUGUAGAUGCUACACUGUGUGGGUGUCUGUGUCUUUGUACCUGUUCAUGUAAGUUUUGAAUGCAUUGAAAGAAACGUAAUCUAUAGUAGCACAUAUCCAUGUAUUCACCCUUUAUUACUGUACCAGCCUCCAAAACAUCUGUAAAAUUAAAGGUGAAAUGUAUAAUUUCUGUGCCAAUAGCAGCACCAAACAGAACUGAAAAAAAUAUUGACUGCUGUCAAACACUCUAGUUAUCAUUCCCAGCUAUCAGGGAAUGUUCUCAGAACUUUGGCAAGGUUCUCUCAAAGUUAUGAACAAAUGUUCUUCUGAUAACAUUAAUAGAAUUAAGUUAUCUGGUCUUUAGUAACACUAUUAAAACAUUAGCACAAAAAAAUGUUAUUUAAACAUCAUUCAUGGACCUUUUUUCUGAAACAUUUUCGUUGGACGUUAAUCUGUUUUUUAAACAUUGUUACUUACUACUUUUUUCAGAUGCUUCAUACUUGCAAAAUGAUAAAACAGAAAACAUUCCUUUAAUGUUUUCUUUAACAUUCAUGUUUUUUUUAAACGUUUAUAAAUCAAAACGUUCUGAGAGCAUUCAGAAAUAACGUUUUCAUAACAUAACAGGAACAUUAGCAAACGUUCUUACCUUAACUUUUUCAUUUGAUACCACUAGUGGUGCAGAAAUUACACACUUCAUCUUUAAGCUUUCUGAAACUGUUGAAUCAAUGCUGAUGUCCCUAGUAUAUUGUAUAUUUAAAUAAUAGAAUACAAAGUUAAGGUAAAAAUGAACUGCAUUUGACUUUUUUUUUUAAAGAGCUGAUACUCACACUGCCAAUUUAUUAUAUUUCAAUUGUAUUUCUACAGUAAAGGACAAUAUUUCAAUGUGCAACUCUCAGUAAAACCAAAUGCAUUACAAGAGAAAGGGCUCUGUAUGAGCUGUAAUCUACAGCUAUUUUUUUUAUUUCAUCUUCAUUAAUCAAAUCAGACGUAUUAUUGUGACGAUUUCUUUAUGCACACUACGGUACACUGGGCUUCUUAUGAAGCUUGUACGUUGAAUUAUUAGCUGGACCAAAUCAAGACAUGAAUUCAGAUGAAAACAUUCUCAUUAAACACCAUGAUCAUCUACAGCGACAGGUUUGAAUAAAAGAAAAUACACCGUGA